CCUACGGGAGGCAGCAGUGAGGAAUAUUGGUCAAUGGGCGAGAGCCUGAACCAGCCAAGUAGCGUGCAGGAUGACGGCCCUAUGGGUUGUAAACUGCUUUUAUACGGGGAUAAAGUGAGGGACGUGUCCCUUAUUGCAGGUACCGUAUGAAUAAGGACCGGCUAAUUCCGUGCCAGCAGCCGCGGUAAU
rnacentral:rRNA from 1 species